CCUACGGGAGGCAGCAGUGGGGAAUAUUGGGCAAUGGGCGAAACCCUGAACCAGCAACGCCGCGUGAAGGAUGAAGGUUUUCGGGUUGUAAACUUCUUUUUUAAGGGACGUAACAAGUGAAGGUAACUGAGAAAUAAGCGACGGCUACGUACGUGCAAGCAGGCGCGGUAAGACGUAGGGGGCAAUCGUUAUCCGGAUUUACUGGGUGGAAAGGGUGGGUGGGCGGGCAGGUAAGUCAGAUGUGAAAUCCAAGGGCUCAACCUGUGGCCUGCAUUUGAAACUGUUUUUCUUGAGUAAUGGAGAGGCAGGCGGAAUUCCUGGUGUAGGGGUGAAAUGCGUAGAGAUUAGGAGGAACACCAAUUGCGAAGGCGGCCUGCUAGACAACAACUGACGCUGAGGCGCGAAAGCGUGGGGAGCAAACAGGAUUAGAUACCCCAGUAGUC
rnacentral:rRNA from 1 species